rnacentral:rRNA from 1 species
GACGAACGCUGGCGGCGUGCCUAACACAUGCAAGUCGAGCGAUGAAAUCCUUCGGGAUGGAUUAGCGGCGGACGGGUGAGUAACACGUGGGUAACCUGCCUCAAAGAGGGGAAUAGCCUUCCGAAAGGAAGAUUAAUACCGCAUAAUAUGUUUUGAUCGCAUGAUCGAAACAUCAAAGGAGUCUUCUUCUUAUGAAGAAGCAUCCGCUUUGAGAUGGACCCGCGGCGCAUUAGCUAGUUGGUGAGGUAACGGCUCACCAAGGCGACGAUGCGUAGCCGACCUGAGAGGUGAUCGGCCACAUUGGAACUGAGACACGGUCCAGACUCCUACGGGUGGCAG